ACUGUGCCUCCUCCUUCAAAUUCAUAUAUUAAGAUUAAUAUCCCAUAAACACCUCAAUUCAACAUGUUCAAGACUAAAUUCAGCAUUCUUCUUCUCUUCCUCUGCUAAACCUGUCUUCUAUUUCACUUAGUGGCAUAUAGCCUAUAUACUAGAAAUGAAGGAGUCAGCUGAGAGAAUCUCCUAAAUAUUUCUUGGAGUCAGGUUUCAACUCAUUAGGACAAAAAUAUUAAUAACCACAGAAGUGACAAUUAAUGACAUUUAUCAAGUGUUUAUUACAUACUAAGCAUUAUUUUAAGUGCUAGCUGCCCUGCUCUCUCAAACUUAUAACAAACCUAAGAAGUAUUAUUAUUCUCCAGUAUACAGAUGAGAAACCUGAGGCACAGAGAAGUAACUCACCUAAGGUCACACAGUAAAUGGUGGCACAACAUUGGACCUGAAGCUGCCUGACUUCAGAGCCAGCAUGUUUAACCAUACACAAGAAUACCCCCAUUCAGAAUAAUCCAAACAUGAAACAGACUUAUUUAAGAACUGAGUUUCCUGUCACUGGAGGUUAUUUUUAUCUUAAUAACUUUCUCAAGCUAUAAAAAUUAUCUCAAAAACUUUAAAGAAGUUUGAAGUUACCUUUCCAGCAUAUAAAACAAACAAAUCAGGAGAAAUCAAUUUCAAGUAACCUAACUUACUAAUAUUCCAAAGUAUGUUUCCAGGACUUCAGAAAAACAUUAUCAAUUUCUAGAGACUUUCUAUUCAAUUACAAUAACCCAAAUGGUUUCUUGAUGCCUAAGUAGUUUAUUACUUAUCUUUGGGAAUUUUAUAAUACCCAAACUGCCUGGGUGACCAAACAAGUAUGUCUCUCUUCUCAAAUCCCUGAUAGCCUCAAAAAACUAAUGCUGCAAUCCCUUUAUCAAUACAAUAAAGAUGAAUGAUUUAAUUUUUCCUUUUCCAUUUGAUAAUAAAAAUUACUAUUCUACUAAGAACAUCAAAGAAGACCAAGGACUCUAGGAGCCAAGCAUAUGAGUGUUUUUUUAAUGCAAUAUGGUUAAUCUGGAAAAUAAGCAAACAAAAAGUGAGUGAAUUCACUCAAAAAAUAAAUAAUAUUAUGAUGAAGUAUUACUUUGUCUAUGAUAUGUGAGGAGAAAUAACUGAUUCAUUUACCUUUAUACAUGAAGAAAAUUUCCUCUGUUAAAUAAUGAAGGAGAAAUGGCAUCCUCUCUUGACAUGGUUAAGCACACUGAUAAGCUAAUUAGAUAUCUGAGGUCAAAAGAGCGAAAUGCUUUAGAAUUCCCCCUCUUUGCUUAAUUAUGCUAGCUUUUCUUGCCUAACAACUCCAUAAAUUAGUACUUAACCAUAAUUAAUUAAAUCCAAAUAAUUUGUCAUAAUCACAGUCUACCUGAAAGCUGAAUGAAUACUUGUAAUAUUAAUACAGAUUUGAGAUCAAGAAAUUCUUGUAUGUAUAUUAGACAAAAACUUUUCUUUAUGUAAAUCAAAAGAAAAGAAAUUAAAAGGCUUGGAUUCAUCGGAGUUUUAUUCUCAUUCAUGUAUUCAAUCUGAAAACAUUUGCUGAGUACCUUCUACAUGCAAGAAGUGUUGAUCAUAGACACAUGAAAAAAGAUUCUUUUAAUAGGCCUCCAAGUUUUAGUGGACAAAAAAAAAUAUCAGCCACAAUAAAAGCACUGAAAUAAAUUUUAUGCAGUAUUAUAUCUGUACAAUAUAUAUAUAUAUAUGACUGUCCAAAAACUAUCAGGAUACCUUAUUUGCAAAUGGUAGAUGAGAAAGAUUAUAAAAACACCAAGGAUGGGCAACCACUUUACCAGAAUUUAUCAUGUAUCUAAGUAAAUAUCUAGAUCAAUACCUAUUUUGACAGGAGCAAAAAAGGACAUUCAUCCACUGAACAACUAUUUAAUUAAAUUGUCUACUGUUGUAAGCACUGUACUAAUUACACUUACUAUAACACUCGGGACUAAGUGGUAAACAAAGUAGUUCUGUGACACUACUAGUUGUCACCCAAUAUAUAUUGCACCUUCCUUUCCCAGACAUAAGACUCCCAAAGUACACCUGAGCACAUGGCUACCCAGAAUACAGAAUACAUUCUAGCAUCUCUUAUAACUAGAUGUGGCCAUGUGACUACCUUCCAGCUAAUGACAUAUAAACACAAAUGUUCCUGGCAGCUUCUUCUUCAUCCCUUCCUUCAUCCCAAAGCCAGGAAUUUUAGAGCCACCAUUCUGAACCCUGAGGUGAAAGGUAGGCAAGGGAGAACAACAGGAGAGAGAACCCCAAUCUUGCUGAGCAACCAUAUAUGAGUUGAUGGAAAUAAAUUAUAAUUUAUAGCCAUACAAUUUAUUGAAUUAAGAAGUUAAAGAGCUUUCUGCUCCAGCCGCCCAACAUGCCGAAGGGAAAGAAGGCCAAGGGCAAGAAGGUGGCUCUGGCCCCCGCCGUGGUGCAGAAGCAGGAGGCCAAGAAGGUGGUGAACCCCCUGUUUGAGAAGAGGCCAAAGAACUUUGGCAUUGGACAGGACAUCCAGCCCAAGAGGGACCUCACCCGCUUUGUCAAAUGGCCCCACUACAUCCGUUUGCAGAGGCAAAGAGGUAUCCUCUACAAGCGACUGAAAGUGCCCCCUGCCAUUAACCAGUUCAUCCAGGCCUUGGACCGCCAAACAACCACUCAGCUGCUUAAGCUGAUCCAUAAGUACAGACCAGAGAUGAAGCAAGAGAAGAAGCAGACUGUUGGCCAGGGCUGAGAAGAAAGCUGCCAGAAAAGGAAAUGUCCCCACUAAGAGGCCACCUGUCCUUCGAGCAGAGGUCAACCACCUUGGUGGAGAACAAGAAGGCUCAGCUGGUGGUGAUCGCACAUGACGUGGAUCCCAUCAAGCUGGCUGUCUUCCUGCCUGCUCUGUGUUGGAAGAUGGGGGUCCCUUACUGCAUUAUCAAGGGGAAGGCCAGGCUGAGGCAUCUAGUCCACAGGAAGACCUGCACCACCGUCACCUUCACACAGGUUAACUCGGAAGACAAAGAAGCUCUGGCUAACCUGGUGGAAGCCAUCAGGACCAACUACAAUGACAGAUGCGAUGAGAUCCAUCAUCACUGAGGAGGCAACGCCCUGGGUCCAAAAUCUGUGGCUCGCAUUGCCAAGCUGGAAAAGGCAAAGGCUAAAGAACUUGCCACCAAACUGAGCUAAGUGUACACUGUUGUCUUCUGUACAUAAAAGUAAUAAUAAAAGUUAUCCUUCAGCCAGUGUCUGAGCAAAAAAAAAAGAAGUUAAAGAGUUCUACAAAAUUAUCAUCCAUUAAUGGUCCAUUUUGUUUUUCCUAAAUUUUAGCCAAAAUAUACAAGAUAAUCUCUAAAACAAUGGGAUUUUAAAAAUUCUAUACUCACCCAAACUAUGCCUUUUAUAGUUCUACAUUUCAUAAGGUGAACAGCUGUCAUACAGAAGAAGGAAUGGAACUCAUUCAAUUCAUUCUAGAAGGCAGAACUGGGAAUAAUUGACAGAAAUUCUUUCAACUAACAGGUUCACCUGUUCUAUGUUCUCCCCUCCCUUGUCACUACCCUGGUCUAUAAUGAAAAUUUCAUGUUUUAGAAGUAACUACUAUAUCCUGAAUAUACUUUUCUUCACAGGAUGUAUAACACUAACAUUUACUUGAUUCCCCGUUCAUCUCUCGAUACUAGAUAGAAGGGGGUCAGAGGUCAGAUCUCUUGUGAUCUUUGUCUAUUGUCAGGGGCACAGCUGCUGGUAAAAGUAAGCCAGGAAAACAGGGCACAGAGAGAUUAAGAAUUUGCCCAUGGCCACUCGGCUAGUAGGUGAGUGACCAUGGUAGGUCCCAGUAAAUAGGGCUGGAACCCAAGGAGCAUGUCCCCAGAAUCAGCAAUCUUAACUGCACCAGCCAGCCUUCAAAGACAGGGAGCUCAGUCAUUUGUCAGGAUUAGCAAAAGAUAAAUUCCUGCAUUAAGUAACAGUUUGGACUAGAUCAAGCCUAAUCAUCUUUCCAAAUCUAAGCUUUUUCUAAUUAUACCCCCAAGGAUCAUUUCACACUGAAGGGUAUAAAUCUUUUAAGCCAGUCUCGCCUCUUGAUAAUUUGGGUUGCCCUUUUAUGGAUGCUUUCCAAUUCUGACACAUUUUUCUUGAUGCACAAGAUGCAGGACGUCACAUAGCUGUAUUAUAGAUAAGUAAAUAAAUGAUUGUUUUACACAAAGAGAAGAUUAUAAUUUUUCAAAUUUCCAGUAUCACUCCCAAAUGAAGCCCAGCAUUUUUUACCAUAAGCACAGAUUCUAUAAAUUUUAUAAAGCACAGUUUGGAACACUUCUCUAUUACUCCUUAGUAAUUCAUACCACAUACUUCCUCAUUUGAUUUUAAUAUAUCAUGGUUAAACACAUUAUCAUAACUAAUAAUUCAAAAGAAAUUAUUAAAAAAUAAAUUGAUGUUGGUCCACAGUGGCAAUAGUCUCAGUUACUUG